GUGGCUGUACAAGGUAGAAUUCUACGUUGUGGCCGUAGAGACCUGGGCUCGAAUCCCAGCAGCCACA
rfam:Populus trichocarpa scaffold_14_contig_111, whole genome shotgun sequence.